AUUGAACGCUGGCGGCAGGCCUAACACAUGCAAGUCGAGCGGAGCGGCGGACGGGUGAGUAAUGCCUAGGAACCUGCCUGGCAGUGGGGGAUAACGUCCGGAAACGGGCGCUAAUACCGCAUCCUAUCAGAUGAGCCUAGGUCGGAUUAGCUAGGUGGUGGGGUAAAGGCGUACAAAGGCGACGAUCCGUAACUGGUCUGAGAGGAUGACCGGCCACACUGGAACUGAGACACGGUCCAGACUCCUACGGGAGGCAGCAGUGGGGAAUAUUGGACAAUGGGCGAAAGCCUGACCCAGCCAUGCCGCGUGUGUGAAGAAGGUCUUCGGAUUGUAAAGCACUUUAAGUUGGGAGGCGGUACCAACAGAAUAAGCCCCGGCUAACUUCGUGCCAGCAGCCGCGGUAAUUC
rnacentral:rRNA from 1 species